UAGGAAAACGGGAAGAAGUUGAAAGCUAAAAGAAAAAGAACUAAUGUUCCAAAAUUCAAGCUUCCAGGAUCUACAAAUUUGUUAAGAGUCAAGGAGAAGGCUGUGGUGACGGGUGUGCUCUCCAAAUAUGCAGCUCAAGCUGCUUCAGCUUCAAAGGGAAAACCUUAGUGUAGUUUGAUGUCGUUAGAGAUUGCUAUCUAUGAUUACUACCAUUAGCAAACUCACUUUGUAUACCAAAUAUAUGGCCCUGGUGGAUGAAUUGUCAAUUGCAUUUACUGUUUUCUCCAAUUUAUUGUCUGCUGUGACCUGUUUUCUCCAAUUUGUAGGAUGAUGAGACCUGUUUUCUCUUUAAUGGUCCAGAUCUUCGACCCAAAUACAACUUUAGUUACUCCUAAUACCACCAUAAAAUCCAUAAUUACUAACAACCAUCCAAAAGACACCAAGUGCUAAGAAUACAGGCCUUCAUACUUAAAAUUACCCACUCUGAUCGCUAGUCUAAUGAAACGCAAUGUGAUUCCCUCAAUCGAAUUCCAUCAAACCAAAACCAAAUUCACUACAACUAUUCAAAACCUGCUCUAAGAGCUCAUACAAUCUUCAUGAAAACUUACACAACAUGACAACUUGAGCACAAUAGAGUAUAGAUUUGAGGAUGCUCUCUGUUAUGUUUUGCUAUUGCCUUUGGUCCAUUCCUUCCAGUCUUUGUCCACCUGAUCUUGGGCCCAUUUAACAGCUGCUCGUGCAGCUUGUGGGCCUCCGGGCAAGCCCCUCUCGUUCAAAGUCUCAGCCAUGUCC